CGGGUGCGGCGCCGGUCUAAGUCCCUUGGAACGGGGCGUCAUAGAGGGUGAGAAUCCCGUAUGUGACCGGUGACCAAGCCUGUGUGAAGCUCCUUCGACGAGUCGAGUUGUUUGGGAAUGCAGCUCAAAAUGGGUGGUAAAUUUCAUCUAAAGCUCAAUACCGGCCAGAGACCGAUAGCGCACAAGUAGAGUGAUCGAAAGAUGAAAAGCACUUUGGAAAGAGAGUCAAAAAGUACGUGAAAUUGUUGAAAGGGAAGCGCUUGCAACCAGACCUGCGCGCGGGUGAUCAGCCGUCCUUAUGGGCGGUGUACGCGCCCGCGAACAGGCCAGCAUCGGUUUUCGCGGCCGGAUAAAGGCCUUGGGAACGUAGCUCCUCUCGGGGAGUGUUAUAGCCCAGGGUGACAUGCGGCCAGCGAGGACCGAGGACCGCGCUUCGGCAAGGAUGCUGGCGUAAUGGUUGUAAGCGGCCCGUCUUGAAACACGGACCAAGGAGUGGAACAUCUAUGCGAGUGUUUGGGUGUCAAACCCAUGCGCGGAAUGAAAGUGAACGGAGGUGGGAACCCGUCCAGGGCGCACCAUCGACCGAUCCAGAUGUCAUCGGAUGGAUUUGAGUACGAGCAUAGCUGUUCCGACCCGAAAGAUGGUGAACUAUGCCUGAAUAGGGUGAAGCCAGAGGAAACUCUGGUGGAGGCUCGCAGCGGUUCUGACGUGCAAAUCGAUCGUCAAAUUUGGGUAUAGGGGCGAAAGACUAAUCGAACCAUC
rnacentral:rRNA from 1 species